CUAACACUGUGCAUCAUCUACCUUUCCCCUUUGUCCCGAAAGAAUCUAAAUGACUCAAAAAUGCAAUUACUUACCUGAAUACAUUAUAGCUACUUUUUCUUCUUCUUCUUCUUCUUCUUCUUAUUAUGUUCUUAAACCCCUUUAUUGAUUUGAUUUUUAUUGGAAGUGUGUUAGAUUAGAUUCGCACCAAUUUGAUAUUGAAUUGUUGGCUAUUAGAGAUAACCAAAAGAAGUGUAACAACUUUUGGAAAGUUAAUUAGAAAGGGACGGAAUAGAUGCAAUAUGCAGAUAUGAAGACGCCAUAUGUCGGGCUUUAAGUUGGACUUUUUGGUUCUCCGUUAUGGUCCACUAUCCACCAUGGAUAUCACUGCUGUCUUCAAGUAUUUUAUUUCCUGUUAAGCUGAUUAUUUUUAGAUUGAGUAAAUGGUGGUAUUUUCACUCUGCUAUGAGCAGUUUUAAUAGUAUUGUUGAUAGAAAUAUGCUUCCUAAAAAGCUAGAUUUGACAAACACAAGAUGGUUCUUUCAUUAGAUGCUUACAUGGAUGAAUGAACCACAUCUAUUUAAUUAUUUAUAGGUAAUUUGAAUGAACUCAACACACUUUUUGAGAUGCCAAGUGAGUUGCUUUACAAACUGGUUAUGAAUGCUCAUAUUGAGGUUUUUGUCCAGCUAUGUUUUACUGCCCAAUGAUGGACAAAUAGACUAUUGAGUGGCUACAUGGUUUUGUUCUCAGCCUGACCUGCACCAUUGCUUCUCACAUUCUCUUUCUCUUUCUCGCUCUCUCGGUCGCUCUCUAUCUCACUCUUCACAUAUAUAUUCUUUGUUUAUUUAUUUAUUUAUUUUAGAUGGUGCAUAAAGGCUGUAAACGAAACCUGUGUUAUAAGCUGCAGAUGAUUUAUAAGCUUAGGUAUGAGAUCUGAGGGCUCUGCAUUUUUUGUGACAUAUAAUUUAUCGGGUGCCUGGUUGCUUCCUUUUAUGUAUUUGUGGUUAGUGAAUAUACUUUAUUUAAAAGAUUGAACUAUUCUACUAGUUUUACUUUAUCUUUUUGAGAAUGAAACUGCUAUCUUUAUUCAAAACCAUGAUUUGGUGCAGUAUGAGCCUGUCUGAAUGUAGUUCCAACAUUUCAACUCUUCCUUCUGCUAUUUUUUUUCUUAAAUUGUAAAAGGUGUAUCAGUUUGGUUUUGAAUUCUAUGGGUUCAUAUUUAUGUCUAAUUUAUUGCAACUUGGUUUAUGAAAUUGUUCAUUUUAUGUAUGCACGGUGUGACAUUGUCAUUUAGCCUUUGGUUUUUGAUGGCAUGCACCUGAACCUUCUAGAAGUUGUUAUUGAUCUGUCAUAUCACUUUGUAGGGGAUCUGAAGGCAAAUCUCCCGUCUGCACUAUCUAUUUAAAGACUUGCCUCUGAAGCCUAGGAUUUUUGCCACCCUGAAAUGAUGUGCAUAGGAUAAUCUUCAGUUUGAAGUUGGACACUAAUUCCGGCCUCAAGUUCAUCCCAUUGAAACUUAAUUCUCUCACGGAACGGUAAAGAACAAAAACACUCUUUCUCACUUUUCACCAAGAACACUAACCUCAUACUCCAGUUUUUUUUAUUGAUCUCAAAUGGUGAUAUUUUUGGUGAAUACCUCAUCCUUCACUUACACGUUUUAGCAAUCCUUAUGCACUGUUUUCUUUCACAAUAAGGGAGGAUGAAGAAGGAGUGUCCACCUGAUCCCAAGAUCUGUAACACUUCGGUGAGCAAACUACAGACAAGUGGUCGAUAGCCUUCCGGCACCGAAUGUCACUGCCAACCUGCUUAAAUCCCCUUUAAUCAGGAAAUAUUAUUUUUACAGUGCCCAUCAAAGCGCCAACGAUGUCUGAUAUUGAAAUAAAUGUCAGAGCCGCCAACACCGAUUUUCUUGACCUCAUAUUCUUCUCUCUUUUGGUGACCAGUAUCAAACACUUUUGCCGCAUCGGUAUCAAAAAUGUAGAAAAUGCUGGAGUACGAUCUUACACGGGGGAUGGCUUCAAAUCUCGACAGACAUUUGGUAUUCCAUCUCUUACACUGUGUUUGUUUGAAGAGAUAUGAGUGAGAGAGAAAUAGGGGCGAGAGAGUUAAAGGAGAAAUAAGAUACUUCUCCUGCUUGGAAUACAAGUGAAAUGAAGAAGAGAGAUUAAAAAUGGUAAAGUCCACCACCUUUUGUUUUCUCUGCUGUUUAGCGAAGAAACAAGGAGAGAGAGAGAGAAAAUUGUUUUUUUUUUUGAUAAGCAUGAUUAGAUUAAUAUUAGAAGAUUUGAGUACUAGGGGUACUCACAACCCAAUACAAAACAGUUAAAUUACAGAUUUUAAAGCUACCAAUGGAGCUUGAUACCAAGAAUAAAAAGGGAUAGUAGGACAAUAUUUCGACCCGAUCGACAACCAAAUUCAAGAAACCAUCUUAAUGCUCAUAAUGACUUCAUCUAAAACUAUAUGAGAGUUGUUAAAGAUGAAGUUGUUUCUUGUGAUCCAAAUAAUCCAGAUUGUUGACAGCCAUACGAGACACAAUUUCUUCCUCUUCAUUUUCCCUUUCAAGGCCUGCAGAAAGUAAGUGAAGUGCAAAUGGCCAGCUAACAAGCUACUGUCUAACCAAUUGCCAAUAUUAGUCCACACUCUCCUUGCAAAAGAACACAUAAAGCACAAGUGAGCCAAAUCCUCAUUUUCUACGGAACACAUAACACACAUUUUAUCUUCUACCCUAUGAAGAACAUUCCUCUUAGCUAAUUGAUCUUUUGAUGGAAGUUUUGAUGGAAGUCUGUUUAGAAAAAAUCUCCAGCCAAACACUUUUAUUUUGGACGGCACAGAAGAUUUCCAUAUCCGGUUAAUUGCAGCGAGCUUAUUCACCUCUACCUCGUCUUCUAACUGGCAGGCCCUCAUCAAAGAACAACAGCUUUUGACCGUGAAGCUUCCUUCCCUAGAUGGCCACCACUUAAUAGAAUCCGCAACCCCCUCUGUUGGCCUAAUACCGCCCAGAAUCUCCAAAAGCUCCAUCGCCUCCUGCAAGAGCUCCGGAUUGGCCAACAAUAAACCAGAAUCUACAUGGAACUCCCAUUGCCAUUGCUGAUCGCACCAUGCUCCCAUCUCAUUAACAGUGCCUAAUUGCUUUGUAGAACUGUUGAAAAGCAAGGGAAAUAGACCUUUGAAAAUUGUUGUCUUUCUCCCAAAUGUACCCCUCUUUUGAUUAAUUCAUUAUGCAUUGUUCAACUUAUAUAAUAAAUUAAUGUUGCUAAUUUGUAUGGUAUUGUUAUUUUUUUUCCCUUUAACAACAAUAGCAACAACGUACACUCUAUCAUAACAUUAGUUAUAUUAACUUUAAAUUUUAGAAUAAUUUAUUGGUUUAAACUAAUUAACUAACGAAAAUUAUAUUCACUAACUUAAGUUAAAUAAAACAAAAAUUGCAUAUGA